rnacentral:piRNA from 1 species
UCCUUUUGAGACACCUUCUCUCUGUGCU